rnacentral:rRNA from 1 species
AGUGAACGCUGGCGGUAGGCCUAACACAUGCAAGUCGAACGGCAGCACAGUAAGAGCUUGCUCUUACGGGUGGCGAGUGGCGGACGGGUGAGGAAUACAUCGGAAUCUACUUUUUCGUGGGGGAUAACGUAGGGAAACUUACGCUAAUACCGCAUACGACCUACGGGUGAAAGCAGGGGAUCUUCGGACCUUGCGCGAUUGAAUGAGCCGAUGUCGGAUUAGCUAGUUGGCGGGGUAAAGGCCCACCAAGGCGACGAUCCGUAGCUGGUCUGAGAGGAUGAUCAGGCCACACUGAACUGAGAACAGGUCCAGACUCCUAAGGGAGGCCGCCGUGGGGAAUAUUGGACAAUGGGCGCAAGCCUGAUCCAGCCAUACCGCGUGGGUGAAGAAGGCCUUCGGGUUGUAAAGCCCUUUUGUUGGGAAAGAAAAGCAGCAGGUUAAUACCCCGCUGUUCUGACGGUACCCAAAGAAUAAGCACCGGCUAACUUCGUG